UCGAAAUAUGGCGGACGAGGCGAACGAGACAUCAGAGAGCGAGUCAGUUGUCGAUCCUGCUAUGGUUACUCUUAUAGGAAAAGUUAAUUCACUUCAUGAAGAAUGCAUUAAAAUCCGACAGAGUACAUCAGACGCUGGUGAGUUAAAUUUAUUAGAAAAAGCAGAGGCCAAGUGCAAAAUGUGCCUUCAACUCCUGGAAACAGGUCAAGCUGCAGCUGGGAAAAAGGCAGUACUUUUCAAAGUUCUCCAACAUUACUCACAGGCUCUUCUUGACGAAACAUAUGUUCUGGAGUGUAGACUGGUAAAUGCGGAUUUCCCAGAAGACAGAUGUAAAGGAGACAUAAAGCAUUUAAUUGGCCAAUUGGACCAGCCUGAGGAGCUGGUGAAAGAAAUGCUUGGAUCAGAGUACAAAUCUGGACAAAUUCUAGGCUCAGAUAUACUAGAAUGCUUGUUUUGGAGGCGUGGAGCUCUGUUCUACAUGUACUGCCAUACGUUGUUUAAUGAUCCACAAAGAAGGAAGCUUGAUACAACACACAUCAGACAGUGUGCCGAGUCAGGAGUCAAAUAUCUGGAGGCCAUGUUAUGUGUUCGUUCACCGCUGAUGAUGGAUGCGAUGACAGAUGUUUCAGCAAAGAAUGAAGACAUGAUGCAGCUUCUGAAAGAAGGUAUCUUUAGUGAUACUCACCUCCUCGCUCUUAUGUACUCUGGUGAACUGUGUUACUGGCAUUGGAAGAUUGUAAAGGAAACAACUACAGAUCAGUCUGUGAAAGAGUCGAGCGAUGCGGAUGAAAAUUGUUCAGGGAACUUUAAUUCUGUAUCAAAUGGAAGGCGACUUCUUCAAAAGUUUGUGAACAUUGUACAGGACUGUUUUAAAGGAAGAGGCUGGGAUUGUUCUAGGGCUGAACAAAUUUUGGCUGAGUUUCCUGAAUGUUAAUCGUUUGAAAUAUUUUUCCCAUGAAGAGACGCUAUGGUUAAGUUUUGUAAACCCAAAACAACAGUAAUCGCCACAACCAAACAUAUGAAGGGAAAAUUUCGCAAGGAUGUGAUGAAAAACCAUAGAAGAAACAAGCAAACUUUAUGAAGAGUGGGAAAAUGAAAGUCACUGAAAACUGUCACCAGCGUCUCAACUCUUUAUUGUACGUGUGAGAAAAGCUGACCCGUUGUAUGAUAGGAAGUCUGCUAUUCAGAGUAUUUGGUUGAAGACGGUGAAAAAGAUGAUGAAACAGGGUCAGAAAAGAAUCACUGGAAAGGACAAGUUACUGAUGCAAUUGUUUUUACACGACUGGCCGCUCAAUCCGUGGAAACAUUAUAACAAAAUGACGGUGUUGAACGCAAAGUAGAUUUACUACAAUGUUCAAGUUUAUUAACAAAGUGUCGAUCCUAACUGGAAGAUGUAAAUAGAAUCGUUUUGCCUGAAUAGUUUAUGAAGAGUGACUUAAAUUCUGUUUUACUACUUACUUAAGUACUUGGAGCUUUACUCUAAGGAGUCAACAAAGGGAAAUUAAUCCUUUCAUCCUUUCAACGUGAAAGAAAAAUAUUAACUGGGGAGUAUUGUUUGGUUUAACACCAAAUUCUUAGCACUCAAAAUACAAUAAAUGUACGAUGGACGGUAUGGAGAGUUGAUAUUUAGAUCUGGAAAGUAGGAGAGCUAAAGAACAACAUCAUACCGUCACCUUGUUAUUUUUAGAUUUAUCGUUAAAUAUGCUUUUUCAAAGACGAAUAUAAAGGAAAGUUGAGAUUUUUUUUUACUUUUUCGUUUUGCCUUUGGAUCAGUUCGCAUUUUCGAUGAAUCCGUGUGCUUCUAUAAAUAGACGAAACACAAUUUGAAAAAUACUUUCAGCUUGGAGUCAAGGAGAGUGUUUUGGUCCACCAUCUCUCUUUAUCUUUCCGUACAUCUCGUCAUUUCUGUAUCUAUUUACAUCAAUUAAUUGUACCUAUUGCAUCAACCGGAAGAGAAUUAAAUUAUGUGUGACAAUG
rnacentral:misc_RNA from 1 species